CAGUCGCCGCGGUAAUACGAAGGGUGCAAGCGUUACUCGGAAUUACUGGGCGUAAAGCGUGCGUAGGUGGUGGUUUAAGUCCGUUGUGAAAGCCCUGGGCUCAACCUGGGAAUUGCAGUGGAUACUGGGUCACUAGAGUGUGGUAGAGGAUAGUGGAAUUUCCGGUGUAGCAGUGAAAUGCGUAGAGAUCGGAAGGAACAUCUGUGGCGAAGGCGACUAUCUGGGCCAACACUGACACUGAGGCACGAAAGCGUGGGGAGCAAACAGGAUUAAAUACCCCCGUAGUCCCUGUCUCUUAUAC
rnacentral:rRNA from 1 species